rnacentral:rRNA from 1 species
UAGGGAAUCUUCCACAAUGGGCGAAAGCCUGAUGGAGCAACGCCGCGUGUGUGAUGAAGGGUUUCGGCUCGUAAAACACUGUUGUAAGAGAAGAAUGACAUUGAGAGUAACUGUUCAAUGUGUGACGGUAUCUUACCUGAAAGGAACGGCUAAAUACGUGCCAG